rnacentral:rRNA from 1 species
UGGGGAAUAUUGGACAAUGGGCGGAAGCCUGAUCCAGCAAUACCGCGUGUGUGAAGAAGGCCUGAGGGUUGUAAAGCACUUUCAAUGGGGAGGAAUACCCGGUAGCUAAUACCUGCCGGACUGACAUUACCCAUACAAGAAGCACCGGCUAACUCCGUGCCAGCAGCCGCGGUAAUACGGAGGGUGCAAGCGUUAAUCGGAAUUACUGGGCGUAAAGCGUGCGUAGGCGGCUCGCUAAGCCAGAUGUGAAAGCCCCGGGCUCAACCUGGGAACUGCAUUUGGAACUGGCGAGCUAGAGUUAGGUAGAGGAGAGUGGAAUUUCAGGUGUAGCGGUGAAAUGCGUAGAUAUCUGAAGGAACACCAGUGGCGAAGGCGGCUCUCUGGACCCAAACUGACGCUG